AGUACAAGGAACGAAAAUCUGUCCUUGGGUGGUUAGUAGAUAAUUGUUUUGAUGAGUCGAAGAAAGAGAUAUUUGCUAUGAAACCAACCUUGGAAUAAAAACAUAAAAUAAAAAAGAAAAAUAAGUCAAGGAAAUUAGGAAAGCGUAUUUUGACAACACAACUUAAAGUAUGAAAUAGUGUUUUCAAAAUAUAGUUUUGAAGAAUUUUACAAUAAGUUAAUUGAGUUUUACAGGUAGGUAUGAAAUUACAUUUAUGGUUUUAUGAUAGUUGUUAACUUCUAUUGAGCUAUGAAAUUACUUUCCAAUUCCAAUUCCAGUAUGGUAUUCUAGCGGCUUUAACUUUACAGCUUAAUUCCGACGAACGGUCUCCAGCAAGAAAAGGUUCAGUAUCUUAGCAGCAGCAGCAGCAGCAAUGGAGGUCAAAUUGGAGCCACCACCGAAGGCAAUCACCUCUCCCUGUCAAUGAGCAACAAUCAGCAAAGGCCGUUCAUCAAUCCUCCGCAACUGUUUGCAACUGCUGCAGCAUCAUCAGGAUUCCCACAGCAGAUAACUACCCGACCCCAAAAUUGGCUACACCAGAAAAAUUGAUUUUACUCUCUGAUGAGACCCUCUUGACCCAACUUUUUGUUUUUUGUUUUUUAAAUCUUUAUAUAACAAGGCCUUUGGAGUUUGUAAGCAUGUAAAGAUUAAUGCUUUGAGCUUAUAUUUCUUCA